GAAGAUGAGUCCCUUUGAGGCUUUGUAUGGGUAUAAACCACCUGAGGUUUCUUGUCCCUUGCCUGAUUCUACUGAUGUUCAAGAAGUCACUGAGCUUUUAUGGCAGAGGCAGCAGAUGACUGAGUUGUUGAGGGACAAUUUGGUGCAGGCCCAAAACAGAAUUAAGCAGAAAGCUGAUAAAAAGAGAGAUGAGAAGGAGUUUCAAG
rnacentral:misc_RNA from 1 species